GAGGAAUCCAGCGGAUUCAUUCCCGCCUUGCGGGAACUCGGACUUUUCUGUCUGCUGCUGGCUCUUAAGCAGUACCCUCACCGGUACACCCAAGUCUACUCCUCCGAACUGCAGACAAGCCCAUUGGUACUUCACUGUUUUGAGCUGGCCAUUCCUGGGGAUCAUGAGAGGACACUUCAGCUGAGAACAAGACCACCCAGCAGCCAGGUGACAGGCACUGGAGAGGCAUCAAGGUGUGGCCCACAUGGAAAACCAGAAGAACUAAGGGGCACUAGUUGUGGAUUAUCUCAGGAGUCUGGAAAGCAAAUUAC